AAUAUUUUUUGAUUUAUUUAUAAUGUUUGGUGUCAAAAAUAUGUGAGAAAUGAGGUAUCUACCUAAUGGUAGGAAGAAAUUAAUUAUGUAAUGGUAGGAAAAAUAAUUUCACUUUAAUUACGUAUUAGAAAAUCAGUAAUCUUAAAUUAGGAUGCAUCAAUGCAGAAGAAGGCAAUUGUAAUCACAAUACAAUAAUAGAUCUACAAAUACCAAGCAAUACAUUAAAUCAAAAAUUAAUUAUGUACUCCCUGUGGUCUUAUUAAUGUCAGCUUAUUGAUAGCUCGAUUACCAGUCAAACAGUUUUGAUCUUUUCUAUACUAUGAAGAAAAUUUGAUCUAAUUAGAUUAAUUCAGAUUGUAAAUUUAUGUUAUAGAGUAAGAUAUUCUUAAACAAACCAAGAGGAGAAUCCUCACACACCCCAGUAACCUAAACCAGGUCCAAAGUCCUACUCCAGC